rnacentral:rRNA from 1 species
CCUACGGGGCGCAGCAGUGGGGAAUAUUGCGCAAUGGGCGAAAGCCUGACGCAGCGACGCCGCGUGAGGGAUGAAGGUCUUCGGAUCGGAAACCUCUGUCAGCAGAGAAGAACGGUCACUGUGCUAAUCAGCAGUGAAUGGACGGUACCUGCAAAGGAAGCACCGGCUAACACCGUGCCAGCAGCCGCGGUAAUACGGAGGGUGCGAGCGUUGAUCGGAAUUACUGGGCGUAAAGCGAUCGUAGGCGGUAUGUCAAGUCAAGGGUGAAAUCCCCGCGCUCAACGCGGGAACUGCCUUUGAAACUGGGAAACUUGGGGGUGGGAGAGGAUAGUGGAAUUCCAGGGUUAGGAGUGAAAACCGUAGAUAUCUGGGGGAACAUCAGUGGCGAAGGCGACUAUCUGGCACAUAACUGACGCUGAGGGGCGAAAGCGUGGGUAGCAAACAGGAUUAGAUACCCCUAGUAGUC